CCGCGAUAUUUCCGCCGUUUUGAAUUUAGUUUUUACACGGGAGAACACUAAGUUUACCUGUGGGAAAUCAACGGACAAACAACAAACGAUAAAGGACUUUCCUGCUUGGUCUUGUGUCAAAGAAGUAAUUGAAUGAAGAAAUCUCAAAGACAGUGCCAGAAGGAAGCUGGAAAGAUGCAGUGAUGACCAACUUCCCGGCAGCAACAGAGUUGUACUUGAGGAGUGCAGUUGGGAAGCAUUUUAUACCAAAAAAAAAAAAACAAAAAACAAAAAAACAACAACAACAACAAAACAGUAAUUAAUCAUUUACUUUGAGUUCACUGUUGGGUGUUUUAUUUGUUAAAAUAAGUAAACCAACAAAAGGAUUAAUCUUUUUUUUUUUUUUACGUUGUCAUUUAUCUGCAAUGUUGUAAUGUUAAGUGUGAUAACAUGCUCUUGAUUUGUAUGUAUUUCUUUUAAAUAUUUUAAGGUAUUUAAAUUUUUUUUUUUUUUUUUUUUUUUAAAUAUUUUUAUUAUCUUAAGUCAGGGUUGCUGCAGGAUUUUAAAGCUCAAAUUUAAGACUUUUCAAGACCUUUUUUAAGACAUGCACAAAUAAAAUUAAUACCAUAUAGGGCAAUGUUUAUGGUUAAAUAUUAAACUGUAAAAUGACUGUAAACUUCUGUAAAAACUGAUUUACAGUUCAGAUUUUUCACAAAAACAAAAGGUUUUAUAAAAUGAUACACUUCACAUUUCUCUAAAGUAGCAUUUUUUAAAUAAUAAUAAUAAUAAUCAUAAUCAUAAUAAUAAUAAUAAUAAUAAUAAUGGGUCAAAAAUAUUACUUUAUUAUUUAAACAAUUAUUAUCAAUUAAUUAUUAUACUAAUUAAAAAAAAAAACAUACAAAUACAUGUAAGUGUUCAGAUUUGUAUGAUAAAGGACAUUCUUCUUAAUAAUCCACCAGUUCACAUUUACAGCUGUACGUUUGCAGGGUAAAAACAUGGGUCGCUUUUCACUUUGGUCUGAACAAAAACAACCCCAAUACUAUGUUCCAGCAAUGCCGGAGGCUGCAGUUCUAGGACCGCAUUUCUAGGACCCUGUUUUUUGAGCCAGUGCCAGCUAGCAAAUUCAUUCCAGCAGAGAAGACUAGAUCCAUGGAAACUAAUUUUAUAUUUAUUAAAGUACUAAUAAACACUAAUUUGUACCACAAUUGUUUUACUGUUUACUGCACUUUGUUAAGUGGCUCACAAAUCAGCACUGUGGCUAAUGUACUGAAGUCUAGAAUAUGUUGAAAUAAAUUAGGUUAAAUAUUUCAAGAGGUUACCUAGGGGUAAGUUUAGGAUAAGGAGUUGUUUAGGAUAAUAAUUACUACAUACUACAUACAAUAUUUCCUUAAAAAAAUGAUAUACAGAAUUAAAUAGCAAGUGCAAUAAAUAGUAUGAGAUGUUAAUACAUUCGACAAAUAAACAAAUUUAAAAAACAAACAAACAAAAAAAACUACAUGUGGUCCUGAAACUAACAGCCUCCUGUGUUGUAAGAAUACCCUACUCAAAACAACGGGUUUAAUCGUCACACUAAGCUGUAUCGCAAUUCUGGACUUCCUGUGCCUAAAAUUUAAGACCUCUUAAUCAUAAUUAAGAAUUUAAGACUUUUUAUGACCUUAAAUUUGAUCCAACUAAAUUUAAGACUUUUUAAGGACCCACGGGAACACUGUAUUUGUAUUAUUUGUGUGUCGUGCAUUUGAAUUACCUACAUCUUUAUUGUUGGAAUCUAAUUUAAUGCAGUAAAAUAGACUGUUUAUCUUCUUUAUUUUGCCUGAAACGUAACAACAAUACACAUCAUCAAAGCAAAUAUUAUAUGUUUUGAAUGAACAUAAAGAGUAAAGUUUCAGAUAAAGUCUACUGUAAGCUGAGAAAUGAAGGAAUAUUUAAACAAGGUGCCUAGGUGUGAUUUACUGAGCAUCACGAAAUGAAAACUGAGAAACUAUUAUAUGACAUUUUCCACUUUUCCACUGAGGCUCACAAUCAAAUGGGUCCUUUCUGUACCUUUAAGACAUCUUUGGGCAGUGUUGAAUUAAAAGUAAUAUAAUCAGAUUACUUUUUUCAGGGUAACUACUUUUAAAUUUACAACAAAAUAUCUGAAUUGCUUUUUCCAAUAAGUCAUACACUUCAUUCACUUUUGGUGUGAAAGAGCCUUCACAGUUGCCAAAAAUAUAACUUUUGGGGUUUUUGGGGAUACUAAAACAAAAAAACAAAUAAGCAAGCCCAGCCCAAAACAAAAAGAAAUACAACACUAUUGUAAUAAAUUACUUUCCAUAAAGAGUAAAUAAUUAAUGCAAUUAGUUAGAUUUUUAUGUAACGUAAUAUUGUAAUACAUUACUUUUAAAAAUAACCCUCCCCAACACUGUCUACAGGAAAACCACUUGAGUUUUAUCUAUGAUUUUAUCAUUUUAUGCUAUAUAGACCUACCACAUUACCCUCCAAAGGAUGUAGAAUUAGCAGCAAAAAACUACAUUUGACAUUUUAUAAUGCCUAGUCAUACUUCUGUGGAUAUUUUGGAGAAAGUAACUCAAAAGUAACUUAAAAGUAAUGUAACGCAUUACAAUUCAGAGACAGUAAUAUUGCAAUGUAACUAAUUACUUUCAAAAUACAGUAAGUAGUAAUAUAUAAUGUACUACACUUUGGAAGUAACUUGCCCAACACUGAUGUCAUAUAACCAACACAAAAUAUUUCCCCUGUAGCACAAGCACAGUAGUGUCAGCCCUGAGCCCAACAAACUGAAGAAAACUGAUCAAAUCACUCUUUCUCACAGUCUGAGACAAGAUGAUAGCCAGAUAACCAGAUAAAGUUCCAACAACAUUUGACAGUUGUGUGUGUGUGUGUAAGGGACAUGAAUGUAAGCAAGAAUAUUAUACUUUACAUUGUCCAUGAGUUGCAUCUAUACUCAGUGCUUGCAGAGUGUUACGGUCGGGGUGUUGGUCCCGCCUUGUGUGGUUCUUUCCUGACAUCCCACAGAUUACAAGAGCACCUUUCCUUCUUUCCUUUGGUAGGAGUGAAGGCAGACGAGUAUGGAUAAUUAAAGAAAUGAGAAGCAUCUCCUGAUAAUGAUGACAUUGAUAAUGCUUUGAGUUGUAGUCAACAGGAUCAUCACCUGACCUGGGACUUGGUGCUGUCCUGUGUCUUGUGCCCUGCUGCCUGAUUAAAUGGGGGGAAAAAAUAAUAAUAAAAAAGAAAGGAAAAGAGGCAGUAGACUGAUACAAGCCAGAUUCUGAAUACUUGCUGGACCACUUGCUAAAAUAACAUCAGACUUCAGUGAUGUUAUUUUUUAAAGGUUGUAAUGCUUUUGUCCCACUUUUUAUUCUUUUUAUCAUUGAUUGUGUUAAACUGUAAAAUAGAACUUACUCAACUGCUGGAAAGGCGUCACUGAUGUUUGAAAAGGUUUUCCCUAAACUUUGAAACGGUCAGAAAUAUUAAUAUUGUUUCAACAUUACCUUGGAACAUCAGAUGGCAACAUUAUUUUCUGACAUUGUUGACAUUUUAGUUGUAUUUUCAAAGUGGUUUAGAACCAACAUUAAAUUAACAAUGAUUGAAGAAUAUUUUUAGGAAAUUUUCAUAUCAGUUGAACAUCAGUGAUGUGGAAUAAAUCAUAGUGUAAUGUUGACUCAGCAAUUUUACCAUUAAAUAUCUUUGUUCAUUUCAGUGUUGAUUCAACAGCAGUGAUGCAGGAUCAAUCAUAGUGUAAUAUUAAUUCAGUGGGUUUUGUUGUUGAAAUCUCAAUUUUGAUUCAACAUAAAUUGCGGGUGCAAGUGUGAUAUGAAACUAACAUCACUUUACAACAUUAAUUCAGAGCAGUUAGCAUUGACACAUCAACUUAACAUUGUUUCAGUGGAACUGUAUCUUGAUAUCUG